rnacentral:rRNA from 1 species
UACGUAGGUGGCAAGCGUUGUCCGGAAUUAUUGGGCGUAAAGCGCGCGCAGGCGGUCCUUUAAGUCUGAUGUGAAAGCCUACGGCUCAACCGUGGAGGGUCAUUGGAAACUGGGGGACUUGAGUGCAGAAGAGGAAAGCGGAAUUCCACGUGUAGCGGUGAAAUGCGUAGAGAUGUGGAGGAACACCAGUGGCGAAGGCGGCUUUCUGGGUCGACCCUGACGCUGAGAGGCGAAAGCGUGGGGAGCGAACGGG